AACGAACGCUGGCGGCAGGCCUAACACAUGCAAGUCGAGCGCGCCCUUCGGGGUGAGCGGCGGACGGGUGAGUAACGCGUGGGAACGUGCCCUUCUCUGCGGAAUAGCCUCGGGAAACUGAAAGUAAUACCGCAUACGCCCUUUGGGGGAAAGAUUUAUCGGAGAAGGAUCGGCCCGCGUUGGAUUAGGUAGUUGGUGGGGUAAUGGCCCACCAAGCCGACGAUCCAUAGCUGGUUUGAGAGGAUGAUCAGCCACACUGGGACUGAGACACGGCCCAGCCUCCUACGGGAGGCAGCAGUGGGGAAUCUUAGACAAUGGGGGCAACCCUGAUCUAGCCAUGCCGCGUGAGUGAUGAAGGCCUUAGGGUUGUAAAGCUCUUUCAGCUGGGAAGAUAAUGACGGUACCAGCAGAAGAAGCCCCGGCUAACUCCGUG
rnacentral:rRNA from 1 species